UACGAAGGGGGCUAGCGUUGUUCGGAUUUACUGGGCGUAAAGCGCACGUAGGUGGAUCGUUAAGUCGGGGGUGAAAUCCUGGAGCUCAACUCCAGAACUGCCUUCGAUACUGGCGAUCUUGAGUCCGGAAGAGGUGAGUGGAACUCCUAGUGUAGAGGUGGAAUUCGUAGAUAUUAGGAAGAACACCAGUGGCGAAGGCGGCUCACUGGUCCGGUACUGACGCUGAGGUGCGAAAGCGUGGGGAGCAAACAGG
rnacentral:rRNA from 1 species